rnacentral:misc_RNA from 1 species
GUGAUUAAGUCGAGCGUGUCUUCAUUGAACCGCUCACCCUUCUCACCAUCCACAUACACCUGUGCACUGUUUAGCCUGAGCCGGUUUUCCGGUCCAGGUUAUCAUUUCAUACAAACUCUAGUCUUAUGAAUGUAAACGUUUUAAUAACAUAAUA